UCCUACGGGAGGCAGCAGUGGGGAAUAUUGGGCAAUGGGCGGAAGCCUGACCCAGCGACGCCGCGUGAGGGAAGAAGGCCUUUGGGUCGUAAACCUCUGUUGUAUGGGAAGAAGGAAGUGACGGUACCAUACGAGGAAGUCCCGGCUAACUACGUGCCAGCAGCCGCGGUAAA
rnacentral:rRNA from 1 species